CCUACGGGAGGCAGCAGUGAGGAAUAUUGGACAAUGGGCGCAAGCCUGAUCCAGCCAUGCCGCGUGCAGGAAGAAGCAUCUAUGGUGUGUAAACUGCUUUUGUACAGGAAGAAACACUCCCUCGUGAGGGAGCUUGACGGUACUGUAAGAAUAAGGACCGGCUAACUCCGUGCCAGCAGCCGCGGUAAUACGGAGGGUCCGAGCGUUAUCCGGAAUCAUUGGGUUUAAAGGGUCCGUAGGCGGUUUAAUAAGUCAGUGGUGAAAUCUGGUCGCUCAACGAUCAAACGGCCAUUGAUACUGUUAGACUUGAAUUAUAAGGAAGUAACUAGAAUAUGUAGUGUAGCGGUGAAAUGCUUAGAUAUUACAUGGAAUACCAAUUGCGAAGGCAGGUUACUACUUAUGGAUUGACGCUGAUGGACGAAAGCGUGGGGAGCGAACAGGAUUAGAUACCCUGGUAGUCCACGCCGUAAACGAUGGAUACUAGCUGUUCGGAGCAAUCUGAGUGGCUAAGCGAAAGUGAUAAGUAUCCCACCUGGGGAGUACGUUCGCAAGAAUGAAACUCAAAGGAAUUGACCGGNNGAGAGAGACGAGGACGACACGAGGGAGGAGG
rnacentral:rRNA from 1 species